GCUGGGUGUGGUGGCGCAUUCCUGUAAUCCCAACAGUUUGGGAGGCUUAGGCAGGAGGAUUUCAAGUUCAAAGCCAGCCUCAGCAAAAACGAGAGACUCUGACUAAA
rnacentral:sRNA from 1 species